CCCGGGCCUUGUACACACCGCCUGUCACACCAUGGGAGUUGGUUUUACCUUAAGGCGGCGGGCUAACCCGCAAGGGAGGCAGCCGACCACGGUAAGGUCAGCGACUGGGGUG
rnacentral:rRNA from 1 species